rnacentral:lncRNA from 10 species
AGGUGCAGAAAGCAAGCCUCUUUGUUCUAUGGGCAUUUUCCUCCCCCUGGAUUUGACUGUUAUUUACUGGCCACGUGAGCGCCAGGCGCGGGUCCGGCGGGGAAGGCGACCCCAGAACAGGGUAGACAAAAGCUGGCCCAGAGCGCGACCCGUGCGCCCCAGGGACGUCUCCCCAGCUCCUGCGACACGCGUGAAAUUGGCCCGGACCUGCCUCCUGAGAGGCUUUUCCCAGAAAUGUCUUGUUAAAGCCUUUGUAAAGGAAUCAGUGUUUACUUGCGCCGGGAGAGCUCCGGCCCUGGGUCCUGGCAGGCGGCGGAUUUCUGAGCUGCUGGAGAGCAACCCGGGAAAGCAAAAUCAGCCUUGGACUGUCGGGGCCCCUGGGGCUCCUUGCUCCUUAUCGAAAGCGAGUUAUUAGAUAGACCCCCACAGUCCCAUUCAGCAGAAUGGGAAACUGGACUCAGACACCUUUUGCCCUCCCCACAGGGAGGCCACGCCGUGCGGCUUUGACCACUGAUCUCCCACCCGGAGUGCCCGACGCCCAGGGUCCUGCCACCGGGCAGCCUCGGUCAGUCCACAGUUGUGGCUCCUUCCAGGGCCUGGACUAGGGUGAGCACAAGCCUUGAGCGCAACAUUUAAGAAGGGCGCCGAAAAGUCAGUAAUCAAAAGAAAUAUCUUGAUGCAAUGCCUCUUUAAAAGAAAAAAAAAUGCAAAAAAUCCAUGAUGAAUAAAAUACUAAAUUUUAAAAAGAGAAA